CCUAGUUGGGGAGCUUCCUUGCGCUCCAAGUCUGAAAGGAGGCAGAUGGGCAGACCUUAGCUGCUAGUUCAUGGAUACCUAUGGCUUUUCGCAGAUGGGGCAAAGCGAAGGUCAAGGGUUUGCAUGAAAUGGGAGAUAGGGUUGCCUUCAUCCUUUUUGUCAUUGGAGUGAAGGGAGCUCCGCAACAGGGAUCUUUUCAAUAAAUGUCAAGGACAAUUAGCCUCUUUCAUUAGAUUUAACCCCUGUUAGUCCAUCAAGCUCCAUCUUGUCGGCUCCAUUGUGAGCAAAUGUAUGUAAUUUUAGUUUGAUUAGACAAAACUGACCCCUUCAUUCGGCUUUUUCCAGGGCAUAAGGAAUUGAUAGUAUUAUGAUGGUAUUCUAAUAAGGAGAUUGUGGGCGCGCCAAAUGUGACAAUCUGGAAUUCUCAUUAAUCAAUCAUAGAUGAAAAGCAGAAUUUAGUAUAGAAGGAGGGAUUAAUUGCUAUGUGAAAUUGUCCCUUUUUAUUACAUUUGUAUCACAUUCUUGCCAAAAUAAUGACAGAUGAUGUUGAUGAUAUUAGAGUUCUUUGUACAUUUUCCUUGAUGUUCCUAUUCUCUUUGCUUCCACAAAAUGUAAUAAAUAAAAGGGAAGACAUGAAUUCUGAUAUCCUAA